UUUCAUGGUGCGACUUUUUUCUUCGUUCCGUCGGUCCGCCCGACCCGUGCGAUCCCGCGGCGCGGCUUUCCUCUCUCGGACCACGUGUGGUGGACCCAGCUCCGCACCACUCUCCCUGCGAUCCAAGGUCGCGAGAUCCCGCACCUGACGCCUCCCUCAAUCUCGCUGCCCUCGCGCACCGCUCCCCAUGUCAUGGCACUCCAUCGCCGUCGCCCCCUACCCCAGAGGCAGCGCCGCUGUCGAUGCGACCCACAGCACCACCGAUGCCGCAAAGCCACCGCUGCUUCGCCCUUGCCGGCACCAAUUCACGAUGCGCGCUCCACAAGGCAAACCUUAAUGGCGCGUCUCUACUCCUCUCUCCCCAUACGUCGCGCGGAGGGAAGAACUGAAGUAAAGAACAUCCCCCUCAAACUCCAGCGUCAGUGGCGUCCAGAUCGCUUCGUAACCGCCUGAUUAAUCCGUCCCUCCUCCAAGGUUUGUGUCUGAUUGUUCUCCAGAUUUCUCUCCAAUUUAUAUUUUUUUUCUCCACAUGCAAUUUGCCUUUGCUAUUCUUGGAGUCCGGUGGUGGUAAAAAUUUUCAGCUCCUUUUUUCCCUUCUUUUUUUUCUUCCUCUGAUCUGAAUUGAUGUCCCAGCCACGUGGCAUAAUCUCAAUUGGGUUGGCUGGAGCACAACCAAUUGGGGGUUAAUUGGGAUUGCUACUCCGUGGCUGCGCAUCCCACGUGUUCUUGGAUUAGCGAGGUGAAUCGGUUGGUUUCUGCAGGUGAGGACUGAGGACUACUCACAGCUAUUCGAUUGGAAUGGGAUGGAUUGGAUUCGUUCCUUGCGUGUUUGAUUCCACUGUCUUUUCUAGCUAGAUUGUGCGGUCAAAAAAAAAUGGAUCUCUUGGACUUCUGGAAAACAAUUUGAGCUUCUGCUCUUAGUUUCCAAUUGUCUUCAUACACGUUCCUCCCGUGUUGUUAGAUCCUUGUCGCCCAAUGUUUGAGUUACAGGCUGCAAGUGCUCAUAGUUUCAUAGACCACAAUAUAGCAUGUUUUGUUUUGGAGCAGUUGUUCCGAGUGAUUCUCAAUCAUUCGUUAGAUUGUAGCAAUGUACAGUGUCCCUACAGUAUAUAAAAACUAAAUAAUACUGAUAUUGUUAUAUAUUGGGGACAACACUCACUGUUUGUUGAUAUCUAUAGUCUUCUUUACCAUUUGACUGGAAUAGUUCAAGAAAUUUACUCAUUGUUAUAUCUGUAUUUACUGCGUAUUGGCAUCCUGGCAAAAGAAAUUUAGUUGUUAGCGUUCUCUAAGACAUCAUAUAUAGUUAAAAAUUAAAUGUCUAUCAUGCACAAGCACAAUUGUCUAUGCUUUUGCAUUUUGACAGUUACAUGUGCUUCAAUUAUCAUUUUUUUAUAUUAUACCUCAAAGUCUAGGUUAGUGCUAUGUUUAUGUCGGUGAUUUUUAGUUAGGCAUCUCUAUCAUUCAUAUUGGUUCUUUUCCUGUAUGUUGGACUUGAAAUGACAGUGGAGGUUCUAGACACACUCGGUAGUAGCAUAACAGGUUUAAUUUCUAGCAAUGAUUUUGUGUCAAGUUCUGCAGCAAAGGGAAACAAAAUAGCCAAGCUGGCUUUUGAGGUGGCAAAUACUAUAUGCUUUAAUAUGAUGUGUUCUCUAUCGGAGCCUACAUAAAGCAUCUGAAGGAGGGGGUGCUUUAUUCAGAAGGUGUUCAACACCUUAUAUGGAAAGCUUUUUAUGAACUGCUCAGGAUGGCAGUUGCUGAUAAAAGCUUCUGCUCCACUUGGCAAAGGGAGAUGGAGGCACUUGAAGCCUAGGAGGGUGGUGAGGGCUGGGAACGGGCAGGUCAAUGGCGAGCUGAGGCCAGCGGCCGCCACCACGUGGGACGCACAGAGGAGGCAUAGGACACACACAAGGUCAGGCAGUUAAUUCCUAUUUCGAGGGGUCAGAUUUGAUUAUGAUGAUCGUAUACACCUUGUUGGCUCGUGAAGCAGCGGUGCAAACCCAUUCAUUUGCACUGCCUUGUCUUCAGUGACGUCGGUAGGUGCUCCUGCCCAUCAGUUCUAUGUAAUACCUCUUUGUUUGAUCCGUACAACGAUCUACUAUUUGUUCGUGAAAUUGCUUUUCCAAGAUGGAUGUUUUUUUACUUUUAACCUGCCCACCACAUGUUAGAUAGAAUGCCUCUAAAAGGUUAUUAUGUUUUAGAUACUUAUAAUUUGUCUUAUUUGGAAAUCUAAGAAAGUAGGCAAUCAAAAAUAAUUGCAUUGAAUUUUUUGAUGAAGUAUAUUUGUUAUAGUUCAAAGAUAUCAAAACUGCCUAUUUAUAUGUAAUAAAUAAUAGAGACACAAUGCCAUAUUAUUGAUAGUUGUUUUCUCAAAGAUAAUAUGCAAACCAAUUCAUCAACACAUCAUGGUCCCUACAAAUGAUAGAACUGCAGGAUCUCAAAUCAAUUGCUUUCACUAUUCUCAUAUUUUUCCUGUUUGUGUUUUUCGUCAUGGCCACUCUACCAAUCUGUCAACUUAUGAUUUUUUAUUUAAUUUAUAAAUCCAGUCAUCGAGGCAUGUUCAGGAGAGGCAUGGGUAACUAAUGCUAUUGCUAUGAGUAUCAUGACACAUGGUUCAGCCAUGACUAUGAAUUUCAGAUAAGUAAUCUGACAUUUAUAAAUCUGAAAGUCAUAGAAUAUCAGGUAAGUAAUGUGAGCACCAGUCUAGGGGUUCCCUUCAUAGGUGUGCCUCAACUCCACACUCAGUUUACAAGUUGUUCAGUUUUGCAUCACGAAAUAUCCCACUGAGGCAUAUCUACAAGUGGUUCAGUUUGACUAGGCCUUGUUUAGUUCUAUUUUUGAAAAAAAUGACACUGUAACACUUUCGUUUGUAUUUGACAAAUAUUGUCUAAUCAUAGAUUAACUAGGCUCAAAAGAUUCGUCUCGCAAACUAUAGAUAAACUGUGCAAUUAGUUAUUUCUUUUAUCUAUAUUUAAUACUCCAUGCAUCUGCCGCAAGAUUCAAUGUGACGGAGAAUCUAAAAAAUUGUGCAAAUUUUUUUGAGAACUAAACAAAGCCUAAAAAACACCAUCUUUUUAUUCGCAAUUUAUUUAUUUAUUUUUAUUCAUCACUUGUUCAUGUCAAAUUUGCAAAUUGUGGAAUCAAGAUUUCAGACCUACAUAUUUUUUGUUUCUGUACCACGCAGUCCACUGAGGACUGACUAGGACAUGUUCUUUAACCAGGUGACUGAGCUCCUUAGUGUUGGAUACAUUAACAGUUCAGUGCAAAACUUAUAUUAUUGCAUAUAUAGUUUGCUAAUGUUCUAUUUCUUUUAUUUCUAUUUUUCUGCUUUUACCUAUAGUAAUCAGUAGUUUCUAAAUAUUGUGGACUGCAGUUCCGUGUUCUUAUCAUCGUAGCUAAUAAUAGGGAUUUUGGUUGUAGACAUUGGUGCAAUUUAAUUUGGUUCUGGUUGAUGAUCCGUGUUCAGAUAUAUGCACACAGCAAUAGACUUGAACAAGUUCUCAACUUCAGUGAGCAACAAAGGAUAGUCAGUGCCAGUCAUUUACUCUUAUUUGAUUUGGUUCAAUGUUCAGACAUACAUAUUAUUGCACCUUUGGAGAAUUUAUUUUUGUUUUGUGAUCGAUGCUCAAAUACAUUAUUUAUGUCAGACAGUGAUCUCAUUGCUGAUAUGACUCUGAAAAUUUUAGAUCUUUCUGACAGAGUAUAUUGGUCUUUGGUUGAACUUCCAUGUGCUUCCAUGUCGCUUAUUGAUGCCAUUUUUUCCAAGACUCAGGAGGCUUGCAGCGGUGAGAUUGAACACGAAAAAGGUGCAUCAAGUCAUGAAUAAGGAAGAAGUCAUCUUAAUUUGUCAGUUUUCAGAUUGAGAACCAAUUGUGCUCCAGAAGUGAGAGAAGAGAUCUGACUAGCUGACAUCCACAUCAAGAGAAAUAGAUGAAGCAGCUCAAGCAAGAGCUAGAAAAGGAAGCUGAAGUAGCAUCUUCUUCUAAAUCUUAUAACUUGUGAGAAUGUUUUUCUGAUCCCCUGAUGUGGAGUUAACUCAUUAUAUUUAAUGUACCGAAAGGAGUAGUCUCAGUGUGAAGAUUGAACUUGGGAUGGUAGCUUUGGUCUCUAUAACUUAUGAAGUUUGGAUAUUUCCAGUGAAUCAAAUAUGAGAAUAGUUUUAUGGAAUA